rnacentral:rRNA from 1 species
GGGUGAGUAACGCGUGGAUAACCUGCCUCAUACAGGGGGAUAACAGUUAGAAAUGACUGCUAAUACCGCAUAAGCGCACGGAAUCGCAUGUUUCUGUGUGAAAAACUCCGGUGGUAUGAGAUGGAUCCGCGUCUGAUUAGCUAGUUGGCGGGGUAACAGCCCACCAAGGCGACGAUCAGUAGCCGGCCUGAGAGGGUGAACGGCCACAUUGGGACUGAGACACGGCCCAAACUCCUACGGGAGGCAGCAGUGGGGGAUAUUGCACAAUGGGGGAAACCCUGAUGCAGCGACGCCGCGUGAGUGAAGAAGUAUUUCGGUAUGUAAAGCUCUAUCAGCAGGGAAGAUAAUGACGGUACCUGACUAAGAAGCACCGGCUAAAUACGUGCCAGCAGCCGCGGUAAUACGUAUGGUGCAAGCGUUAUCCGGAUUUACUGGGUGUAAAGGGAGCGUGGACGGCAAAGCAAGUCUGAUGUGAAAGCUAUGGGCUCAACCCAUAAACUGCAUUGGAAACUGUUUAGCUAGAGUGUCGGAGAGGUAAGUGGAAUUCCUAGUGUAGCGGUGAAAUGCGUAGAUAUUAGGAGGAACACCGGUGGCGAAGGCGGCUUACUGGACGAUAACUG